rnacentral:sRNA from 1 species
CGGCGCUUGGCCCAGUCCCGCGGUCCUCGUCGCGACCGGCCCGGGCCGCAGGACGCCGCGCUCGGGGGAGCUGAGCCACCUCUCCGCCAGGCCCGUGAGAGCGGUACAAAGACCACUUCCCUGCUGGGGCAGAGGCCAAGCCAGAGCCCUGGCCCCAUCACCUCUCUGCCCUGCUUGAGUCCGGAAUGGACCUCCCUGCCUGGAAGCUGCAUUGCCCUUGGUCCUGGGCCUGCCUGCCCCCUGGGGAACACAGGCAGCAGCCACAUUGGCAGUGAGGCUGUGGCAGCGUCGGCAGCAGAGGAUGCCCCAGGCCCUGGAGCAUGCAGAUGGCAGCUGGGCCUGGGUGGUGCUGCUGGCUACCAUGGUGACCCAGGGCCUCACCCUGGGCUUCCCGACAUGUAUCGGCAUCUUCUUCACUGAACUGCAAUGGGAGUUCCAGGCCAGCAACAGCGAGACCUCUUGGUUCCCCUCCAUCCUCACGGCUGUGCUCCACAUGGCAGGGCCCCUGUGCAGCAUCCUGGUGGGACGCUUCGGCUGCCGACUGACCGUGAUGCUGGGGGGCGUGCUGGCCAGCCUGGGCAUGGUAGCCAGCUCCUUCUCUCGCAACCUCAGCCAGCUCUACUUCACAGCAGGAUUCAUCACAGGUGGAAGGCCCCACUGCACCUCCAGGCUGGUUUCCCCUCUUGCCCCGCAGGCC